GACGAACGCUGGCGGCGUGCCUAAUACAUGCAAGUAGAACGCACAGUUUAUACCGUAGCUUGCUACACCAUAGACUGUGAGUUGCGAACGGGUGAGUAACGCGUAGGUAACCUGCCUGGUAGCGGGGGAUAACUAUUGGAAACGAUAGCUAAUACCGCAUAAUAUUAAUUAUUGCAUGAUAAUUAAUUGAAAGGUGCAAUUGCACCACUACCAGAUGGACCUGCGUUGUAUUAGCUAGUAGGUGAGGUAACGGCUCACCUAGGCGACGAUACAUAGCCGACCUGAGAGGGUGCUCGGCAACACUGGGACUGAGACACGGCCCAGACUCCUACGGGAGGCAGCAGUAGGGAAUCUUCGGCAAUGGACGAAAGUCUGACCGAGCAACGCCGCGUGAGUGAAGAAUGUUUUCGGAUCGUAAAGCUCUGUUGUAAGAGAAGAACGGGUGUGAGAGUGGAAAGUUCACACUGUGACGGUAUCUUACCAGAAAGGGACGGCUAACUACGUG
rnacentral:rRNA from 1 species